UACUGCUCUCUCUUUACUCUGGUCUUUUGGUGAAUGAGGACUUUUCACAAUGCCCUCUCUUUUUUCUUUUAUUUUUUCAUUCUUCCAUUGGCAAAAAAAUAGAAAGAAAAAAAAAAACAGCAUUUCCCAUCGCGUUUCACCAAAUUGUUUUUGCUAUAUCAAAAACAAUUGUCCUCAGGUGAAGAAUGCGCCUGCAGAAUUACAACCAUUCCAGGGGGAGAAAGAGGUCUUCACAAAUCUGACUGGCUUCCAGGCAGCCAAGACCCCCUCGAAGUGGUAAUGAAAAGUGUAACUUUAGCCUCCCAGCUGUACGUCUCAAUCCAUAAUCCUUCCCCAAAAACCUCACCGUAGUGCCGCCUACCACUCCCAUGGCGUUCCCAGCCUGUGCCGGGCUGGGCCUGCACUGAUUUAUGUGGCAGUCCCGUGUCAUACUCUCAACCUGAAAAGGAUUUGCUCUCUUAUAUUUACCAGGGUGGUCAGGGAGGCUCUCUGGAAACACAGAGAGCCCAGUCUCCGGGCCUCACUCCCAGGCUUUCUCUUCUUUUUACCCCUGUGUGCCAAUAACCUGGACGCUUUGGACCUUACCAGAAUCAGACGAGGCUCCAGUGUUUCCAUAGUGGUGUGUUGCAGCAGUGCAGAGGUCAGAGUCCACACACCCGCGCCCACGCAGCCGCAUGGCCACGUUUUGGUAUGCAGAUGCACAGACGCAGGUAAGUCUGCUCCAGGUGCACCCCAUGGUGAUCUUGACCUAUUCUGAUUCACUCCGCAGCUCUCGGGUCAGGCCGAGGGCCCAGCAGGCAACCAGCGCAGGUCACAGAGGGCCUCAACAUCCCAGAGAUGAGACUCCAGACUGGCAUGAAGAGGAGUGUUUGAUGUGGCCCUGAGCUGGGCUAUGUUACCACGUUGCUAUGCCUUUAAUUAGCUCCAGCAGCUGCUACUUCCUGGUUGACAGGCCGUGGUAAACUCCACUGUCUCUGUAAUCUCUUACAGGUGACUGUCAGUUACAUGUCAGCUCGUUGUGCAGCGACAGGCUGCGCGUUCUUCUUUAAGUCAGGUGUUAGAGCUUUAGAAAGCAACGUCGCUGUUUACCAAGCUAAUUAACUGUGAAGUGACUGUAGACAAGAUUUGAAUGAAAAAAAAAGGGCUCGCCGCGCUAUAAUGACCACAGCAUGUUUCCAAAUAUGUUAUGCAAAUAUGUCUCGAAGCACCGAUCCCCUGCCCAUUAUUUUUUUUUACAACUUUUGUGUCUGUUUUCGGAGGAUGCAAUCAUGAUUAAGAGACUACAAAGUUCUCUGGGUGACAGUAAAAGUGCCACUCUGCAUUCUUUAUCUGGAUUUCCAGCUUGCACAAAGACAUCUUAACCACUGGAAAUUGCCCUCCGAGGACUGACGGCUAGAAAUUGAUCUCAGAUUAGAUGAGCGCACCUCGUUCCCCGCUCUCCUUUGUCACUCCCAAGUUGGUGGAUCUUUCCUUAAAACUCCGCCAGAGAUGAAAAAAGGGAGACUUCGCAGCUGGCUAUGGCAUACUAAUACCCUGGACUCAUUAAAUUAAUGGGGGCCAGAUUCCCCUCACUGAAUGUGCACGGAUGCCCUUUGAGUUUGCCGGGGCUAGAGGGUGUGCAGCACUUUGAAAGCCCUGACCGGCAUAUUGAACGUGUUUUAAUAGAAGCCUUUUGAGACUCCUGGUAGGAUGCACAGUAACUCUUUGCCUUUAAGUUCCCGCACCUCUCUGUGUGAUCUCGUCAGAUAGCCACUCUAUCCUCGGAUUCAGGCCUGGAGAGGGGGGAGGGGACCGUGCACGUUAAAUGAGGCCAGAGGUGCCCAUAUCUCAGCAGAGGCCAUUCUUUCCUGGAGAUGUGAAUCUUUGAGACGCGGUGCUGAGCAAGCUUUGAUGUAGGAAGGUGCUCGGCGUAGGACUGAAACAGGAGGCUUACAGGGCCGGCGUUCAGCGGGAUUCCCUUCUGGCCUCUCAUUGGACAGUCGUCCAUACAGUGUUGAUUUAAAUUACUCUAUUCUGCUGUUCACUAUAAAACAGAUUCAGUCCCACAUAUGGCCAUUAAUGUGGAGGCACCACUGCCAAUCACGCCAUAAUAUAGGCAAGCCGCAGGAACGCAUAGGAUCCAGUGAAGAGGCUUUCAUUGCCAUACUAUAAUCUCAAGGUAUAAAGGGCAAAGAAAAAUAUAUUGUUUUUGAUGGCGAUAUAUUGAAAAACUCUUAAUAUAAUAGGAGGGAUUGAAUAUUAAUAUGUGAAUUUUGCAUAUUUGCCCAACAGCAAAAAAGAUGAAUUGAUAAGAAAAGAAAGCUGGUGAAUUUGCAUGACAAAAAAGUCCCUUUAGAGUACUAAUACAUCAUCCUCAUGGUUAUCUGAACCACAAGUGCCAGAUGUUAAGAUAGGGAGAAUUUAUCUUCAAUGAAAUUAAGAUAUUAAGACGAGAAUCUGAUUUUGAUAUCGAUAUAGUUGUUAGGUAACAGCGAGCCAAAAGCUUUCUCUGCCCUGAGCUGAGAGGACAUCAUGAUAUAACGAUAAUCUUGCUCUCAGUUCUGCUCUGUCAUCUCGCCUGCAUGCUCUUGAACGCCGUGACGCGGGAAAACAUCGCCGACAAUGAUGAGAUUAUACGCAGUCAGGAAUGAGCUAGCAGGACUCAUCCCGGCGGACUGACAUACCCUUUAAAACGCAGCUGAAUAAGACGAGUGGCAGGAAGAUGCGGCGCCGGAGCCAGACAAUGAGGCUCUCGCUGCUGAAUAGAGUGAAUAAACAGAAAUCCAGGAGAGCUAAAAAUGGCUGACUCAGGUGCGCAGCAGAGGAGGCAUCACGUUUCUCGAUUACAACUACCUUAGCCUUUGCAUGUGACAAAACAGAACCAUAUACCUCUUACAGAAACCCAUGUUGGGCAAUCAUUUGAUUUCCGUAGCCAGCUUUGACAGUAAUGAUUUCAUAAAGCCUUUGAUUUUAGCUCGAUCACCAUGGCUGCAACAUCGCCGGGUACCGCUUCCUCAUUAGCGAUUCCAUAAGCAGAGAGCAACGCACUGCUGUAGCGACUGAUACUUACAUGCCUCCCACUCUAAAGUGUGGCGGUAAUUUAUUCUCUCCACCGCGGUGCUCAUCAUCCCGAUGCAACUCACAUAGUGACAAGAAUCCAUCUCUGUGGUACCUGGCAACAAAGCGGGAGGAGGGGUGAAAGGGAGGGGGGAUCACAUAUUUUGUGAUCACAAUCAGAAGGGAGAGGAGCGGUUACCAGGCAGGUUUAGAACAUCCUAAAGCCACACUGCUACCAUUAGAACAUCCUGUGAACAUUAAAACCAGAGAGAGGAGGUGAAAACAAUUCGCUGGCUGAGAUCUGAUCCAAUAUAAGCUAUCUUCUCCUGCCAAAACUUUCUCAGAGUAUGGCUUAAGCACUUCAAAGUUAAGUACUAUAUAGAGAGUAUGAUUCAUUUGGCAGCUCAUAUUGUCCAGCUUCAAAAACCUAAAGCUAGUCAGAGACACACUGUGGGCUGUUUUCAGCUUCAGAGAAAGAGAAAGAAUUUGGCUUGAGCUUAGGCCGCCCAUCCCCAUCCAGAGAUGGGCUCUUUUUCAUCUUAUCGUAGUCUUAGCGCAUUGGCGUUGUGACUAUGUGCUUCACAGGUGGGAGUCUGCCUCUGUCAAAUAAGCCAGUUCACUAAGGACGGGAUUUGCCGCUGUUAUUUUUCUAUUAGGGAAGAAUUAUGCUAAGCCUUUAGAGGCCAUCUUUGUGUUGCUAUGGCAGCCCAUAUUUCCUACCGGGUUGAGACCUUGAAUGACUACAGUGCAAAGCCAAGUAGCCCCCAAACCCUUUGAGGAUUAGAACCAGGGUCUCAUAGUUAUGCAAAACACCUCUGAUAUGAUUGAACCUUGAAUAGUUGAAUGACAAAGUUUAUUGAGAUUGCCUCUCUUUUCAUCUGAUUAUUGUCAUUUGGUUAUUCCCGAUCACUUGGCGUGGCUUCAAACGCAGCUUUUCAAACGGCCAUUGUUUAGGACAACGCUAAGAGCUUUUUCUCUGUCCACAAACCUCAUAUCUUUGACUAUUAUAUCAGGGAAAACAAGAAGACAUGAUUCAUGGUGGUAGAAAUUGAAAGGUAUUCAUCUCGAACAGAAAUACAGUAGAAGGCAAGGCUAAAAGUAUUGAUUCGUUAUAUAAUAGCAUUGAUUUCUUUCCCUUAAUUAGAAUUUUGAAAAUGCCCAUUACACGUUUUCAUAAUCCAAGGCUUCAUCUACAAAUUGCUUGUUCCGUCUGAUGAACAGGCAAAGAUAUUUGAUUUGAAAUUAUGAACAAAGAAAAGCAGCAAAUACUGAAAUAUGAACAUCGAGCAGCUGCAAAUGAUUGGUAUUUUUGGUAUUGGUAUUAUUUGUUAAUCAAAACUGUCCAUUAGUUUUUAUUAGGGCCGUCAAAGUUAACGCGAUAAUAACCCGUUAACGCGAAAUCUUUUAACGUUUCUAAUUUCAUUAACGUAUUAAUGCAACUUGUGAUUUUUAGGUUGUAGCGGGCUCAGUUUAAAGCCAGAGUGAAGCUACUGGUAUCAUAUGAAACUAGAAAACCUGAGGAAUCUAUUUGUAUCAACCAUGCUUGCUGUGGAGGAGGUUAAAUAAUGGUCCAACUUGCGCUAAAGUUUGCAGAGGAAAAACCGUUAUGGACAUUUUUUAAAUGGGUCCCUUGACCUCUGACCUCAAGAUAUGUGAA